rnacentral:rRNA from 1 species
GUCUUAUUGAAAAUAAUUUUAAGUCAAUCUGCCCAUGAAUAAUUUAUUUUAAUGGCUGCAGUAUAACUAACUGUACAAAGGUAGCAUAAUCAAUUGAUUUUUAAAUGAAAUCUGGAAUGAAAGGAUUAAUGAAAUAUAUACUGUCUCAUAUUUAUUUUAUGAAUUUAAAAUUUUAAUAAAAAUGUUAAAAUUUAUUUAUGGGACGAUAAGACCCUAUAGAAUUUUAUAUUAAAUUAAUUUUAUAAUUAAAUAUAAAAUUUAAUUUAAUAUUUAAUUGGGAGAAUUAUUAAAUUUAAUAAAUUUUAAUUAAUAAAAACUUUAAUUAAAGAAAAUUUAUUGAUUUUUAAUUUAAAAUUAAUAGAUUAAAUUACCUUAGGGAUAACAGCGUAAUAUUUUUUUAUAGAUCUUAUAGAAAAAAAUGAUUGCGACCUCGAUGUUGAAUUAAGAUAAAUUUUAAAUGUAGAAGUUUAAUAAUUAAGUCUGUUCGACUUUUAAAAUCUUACAUGAUUUGAGUUCAAAUCGACGUAAGU